GGUUCUAUAGUGUAGUGGUUAUCACUCGAGAUUCUGAUUAUGGAUUUCUCGAAACCCAGGUUCGAUCCCUGGUAGGACCU
rnacentral:tRNA from 1 species